rnacentral:rRNA from 1 species
UCGAGCGGCAGCACGGUCUUCGGACUGGUGGCGAGCGGCGGACGGCAGAGUAACGCGUAGGAACAUACCCCAAAGUGAGGGAUAACCGCCCGAAAGGGUGGCUAAUACCGCAUGUGAUCUUCGGAUUAAAGCUUUAUGCGCUUUGGGAAUGGCCUGCGUUCGAUUAGCUAGUUGGUGAGGUAAAAGCUUACCAAGGCUACGAUCGAUAACUGGUCUGAGAGGAUGAUCAGUCUGACUGGAACUGAGACACGGUCCAGACUCCUACGGGAGGCAGCAGUAGGGAAUUUUCCACAAUGGGCGAAAGCCUGAUGGAGCAACGCCGCGUGCAGGAUGAAGGCCUUCGGGUCGUAAACUGCUUUUAUGUGAGAAGAAUAUGACGGUAACACAUGAAUAAGGGUCGGCUAACUACGUGCCAGCAGCCGCGGUCAUACGUAGGACCCAAGCGUUAUCCGGAAUUACUGGGCGUAAAGAGUUGCGUAGGUGGCACUGUAAGUGGAGCGUGAAAGCGUGCGGCUCAACCGCAUUACUGCGUUCCAAACUGCAGAGCUUGAGUAUGAGAGAGGUAGAUGGAAUUCCCAGUGUAGGAGUGAAAUCCGUAGAUAUUGGGAGGAACACCGAUGGCGUAGGCAGUCUACUGGCUCAUUACUGACACUAAGGCACGAAAGCGUGGGGAGCAAACG